GAUAAGAACGCAGCGAAAUGCGAUAAGUAGUGUGAAUUGCAGAAUUCAGUGAAUCAUCGAAUCUUUGAACGCACAUUGCGCCCUUUGGUAUUCCUUAGGGCAUGCCUGUUCGAGCGUCAUUUGAAACCUCAAGCUCAGCUUGGUGUUGGGUGUCUGUCCCCGCCUCCGCGGGGACUCGCCUCAAAAUCAUUGGCGGCCGGUACGUUGGCUUCGAGCGCAGCAGAAACGCGAACUCGAGGCCCGGCGGAUCGGCGACCAGAAGUCUCUUCUUCACAGUUUGACCUCGGAUCAGGUAGGGAUACCCGCUGAACUUAAGCAUAUCAAUAAGCGGAGGA
rnacentral:misc_RNA from 1 species